rnacentral:rRNA from 1 species
AGUAGUUUGAUCAUGGCUCAGGACGAACGCUGGCGGCGUGCUUAACACAUGCAAGUCGAACGAGGAUAUGGUUGGAAGUCCUUCGGGAUGGAAGAUCAUAUUCGAGUGGCGGACGGGUGAGUAACGCGUGAACAAUCUGUCCCGGAAUGGGGGAUAACACUUGGAAACAGGUGCUAAUACCGCAUAAGACCACACUGUCGCAUGGCAGAGGGGUAAAAGGAGCAAUCCGAUCCGGGGUGAGUUCGCGUCCGAUUAGCCAGUUGGCGGGGUAACGGCCCACCAAAGCGACGAUCGGUAGCCGACCUGAGAGGGUGAUCGGCCACAUUGGAACUGAGAGACGGUCCAAACUCC